ACCCCCGUGGGGGACCUGUCAGUUUGUCGUUGCCAUGGCAACGACCGGAAGUUACCGCCCCUUUCCAUGGCAACAACCUGAGGACCUGACAGUUACCACCCUUAUUCUAGAAAUAGCUGUAUAAUCUGUCGUUUAAUUUGCAUAUAAUUAACUGGGUAUAACUAUGAGCGCAGCCCUGCCCCACCCCCAGCCGCUCCCCUGGGCGCACUGCCUGAGGGGUCGCCGUGGUCGCCCCUGCGCUUCAGUGGGCCUGGAGGCUGCGGCCCAGCAGCAGCGGGGAAGAAAUGUUGCCGAGAAAAGCCAUGGGCCCUCCGAGGCUAAGCCGUAGUUCGGGGGCUGCCCUGCCCUGCAUCACUCUGAGUCCUGUACAGGAGGCAAAUCAGGCUGCAUCUCCUCAGGGUGAGCGCCUGUGGCCCCAAGCCAAAAGGCUUUUCUCAGCUCGCGGGGCCCUCGCUGGGAGAGGUAGAUUAGGAUCCGGGCACCGUUCCUAGCAUCUGCUACCUCAGGGCGGAGACGAAAAUGCUAUAAAAUGCUUAAUUGUGUGAUAACAACCCUCGUGAGAAAGGAAAGGGAACGCUCCUGAGGAAGCCCAGUGCGCCCCACAGAGCUCCCCACACGGGAGAGGCUGAGCCGCGCCGGCGCUGCCCUCACUUGGGGGCGAAACGUGGCUGUGAUUUCCACAGGUGACAGGAACCAGGCAGUGAUUCAACUCGUAUUUGGCUUUCACAUUCUCCAACAACAGGGUUCUUCAAUCUGGGAAGGGUAGAAAGUUCUGCAGAAGAAAAAGUCAAAGGUAAGGAGAGUUAAAAAAUGAGAUCAUUUCAAAGUGAAUGCAGUCUUGAAGCCCAAAUGAAUUUCAAGCUCCAGUUUGAAAGCUGCUGCAGAUGUGAUUGCAGAAUCACACACGGUGGCCCCGGAGAGGAACUGCUGCUGAAGGAGGUCAGAAAGAGUGGGGACUGAAUUUCAGGAUGAGGGCCUCGCCAGUGCAGGGGACAGGUUGCCACCAGGAGGCAACGGACGGCUGCACGGGCUGGUCCAGACUGCAAUGGGGACAGAGCCCGGAGAGUGUGGCCUGGGAAGCCUGUGCAGGCCACACUGUGCAGACGCUGGGGCGGUGUCAUGAACCACAAUGAACUGACUUAGGACACAUUUCUCAACACAGUGGCCAGACAUUUUUGUUUUUUCUUCUUCUGACAACUUUGGGUUGCUUCCAUUUUUGUCACAAACAUGGAGUUUUCAGUCAUCCCAGACAGUUCUGCCCUGGCUUCUGUGCAGUACUUCACAGCUUUGCAGAGAGACGAAGCAGUACGUGGAGAAUGAACUCCAACCCCUGUCUGCCCAUUUUCAGCCCAUGGCAAGGCAGAAGGAAGAGUGACAAGAAGAGCCAGCAACUCGCCACAGCUGCGGGGCACUAUAAUGCACAGGCCCUUGCUUCUAGGUGCCCUCGGUGAUUUGCCAAAGUUGUUUCAGUAACUCUACAGCACCUUCAUCAGAGAGCAACUAGAUGAAAAUAAACCAGGAGAAAUUAAAGGAGCACAUUUAGAACUGACUCAAGUCCGGAAUGGACUAUCAGGAAAAAAAGAUCAGUUUUUUGGUCCCUCGGAAUCCACGGUUUUAGGAAAGUUCUGUCACCCUGGCAGCUCUGAGGGCCGCAGUCUUCAGGCCUAAGCCUCCACCACUGCCUGCUCCCUAGUGUCCACUCAGCCUGCUGACCACCUGACUCUGCCUCCCCGUCCUGCAUGGCUGUGGACACUAGGCCUCCUUCCACAUGGAGACACAUCUAAGCGGCAGCGGCUCUGCCCCGACUGCCACUGAACAGCUCAGGAGUCACAUCUAAGUCACAUCAAGAUCUAAUGAGACAACAACCUGUCUGCUGGAGCAGCGGAAGGAGAACCACUUUAAGAAAUCAAGGAAGAUGUGUGUGUGAGAACUGUAGUGAAAAAAUAAUAAAAUCAAGGAAGAAUCCACUAAGAGUUACUCUAAUGGCCUGAUGCCAGUGGGGCUGCUCCCAAGGACAUGGAGCUGCCUGCUUCGACCUGUUCUCUGGUCCUGGAAGAGUAGACAGAGCUAUGUCCCUCAGGCUAGACAUAAGGCAUAUGUGUGAGAAGGAUUCUACCAACUGUGGACACGUGACCAAUGCGAGCUUCAGCAAGAGGGACACACAGCAUCCACAAAGCAGCCCUCAGUACAGCUGGGCUGCUCCGGUUAGAUUUAGUUGUGAAUCACCACAACUCAGGCAUUGUGGGAGAGUCAUGAGGAACAGAGGAGACUCCGGCCCCUUCCCUCUUGGUGUGUAUGGGCCCCCUAUCCACCUCCUGGCUCUCCCAUGCUGUACCCACAUCACCUACUGUGGGAGCAGCACCUGUCUUCACUUGUGGGCUUCAUCCCGGCCCAUGGAUGACCACUGCGGACUUGUAAGAUGCUCUGCAGGGUCAGGCAUGGUUCCGAGCGAUUGCCACAUAUGUUCUGAGAAAUGCAUCAUUAGGUGACUGGUUGUUAUGCAAACAUCCUAGAGCACACCCUGGCUACCUGGAGUAGCCCACUGCUCUGCGACCACACACCCACACAGUGUGUUACUGUGCUGAAUAUACUCUAGGCAACUGUGACACAAUGGUGGCUGUGUAUCUAAAUACUUCUAAACAUGGACUAGGUGCAGUAAAAACAAAAUCUUAUGGGACAACUAC